rnacentral:rRNA from 1 species
UACGGGGGGGGCAAGCGUUGUUCGGAAUUACUGGGCGUAAAGGGCGCGUAGGCGGGUGGACAAGUCUCUCGUGAAAGGCCACGGCUCAAACGUGGAAUUGCGGGAGAUACUGUCUGUCUUGAGUCCGGGAGAGGAGGGUGGAAUUCCCAGUGUAGCGGUGAAAUGCGUAGAUAUUGGGAGGAACACCGGUGGCGAAGGGGGCUCUCUGGACCGGUACUGACGCUGAGGCUCGAAAGCUAGGGGAGCAAACGGG